UACGGAGGAUGCAAGCGUUAUCCGGAAUCAUUGGGCGUAAAGCGUCCGUAGGUGGCUUUUCAAGUCUGCCGUCAAAGACCGGGGCUUAACCCCAGAAAGGCGGUGGAAACUGAAUAGCUAGAGUGCGGUAGGGGUAGAGGGAAUUCCCGGUGUAGCGGUGAAAUGCGUAGAGAUCGGGAAGAACACCGGUGGCGAAGGCGGCUCUCUGGUACGUGACUGACGCUGAGACGCGAAAGCGUGGGGAGCAAACAGG
rnacentral:rRNA from 1 species